rnacentral:rRNA from 1 species
CACGUAGGGCGCGAGCGUUGUCCGGAAUUAUUGGGCGUAAAGAGCUCGUAGGCGGCCUGUUGCGUCCGCUGUGAAAGCCCGGGGCUUAACCCCGGGUCGGCAGUGGAUACGGGCAGGCUAGAGGUAGGUAGGGGAGAAUGGGAUUCCCGGUGUAGCGGUGAAAUGCGCAGAUAUCGGGAGGAACACCGGUGGCGAAGGCGGUUCUCUGGGCCUUACCUGACGCUGAGGAGCGAAAGCGUGGGGAGCGAACAGG